GUUCUCAUAAUAACUCAGACUCAGAAAUGUUCCAAGCGGAGGGCCAGGAAGCAGCAGAGCCGGAUCAAAUGCAGUUCAUCUGAGGGAAAGCCUGGGAUCCAAGUCAUGGCAUUAUUCACUCCAAAAGGGCCGGGGCUCUGAUGAGGAAGGCAGUUGUUACAGUUCCAGGCUUUUAAUAGUCAAUUAUCAGCUUAGCAUCUUUUUUUAACUGUGCUUCUGACACAGAUUCACACCUGUGACCGGUGUGGACCCUGCCCAGCAGCCUCCACCCACGGUGGGUUUUAGACAUUGAAUCAGACGAAGCCCAAAUUAACUGGGUAUGUGCAGUACUGCAACAAACUACCUCCGGCUCUGCUUUGARAAAGCAUUGAUUAUUGAUCAAACCUAAGAUGAUUGAUCUUUAUGGCUAAUGUUCAUGUAGUAUAUAUUAUAAAUGAGGAUAACUAAAUGCACCGAAUUUAGAAGAUAGCAUUAUAGCUUCAUUUUAAGUGGCAAGAUCUUAUGACUUCUAAGUUACACUAUGAUGAGAAAUAGUAGCAAAAAAAARAAGAAGAAGAAGAAGUCCAAGCACAUCCUGGGCAUUGGCACAUCACUUCAUUGAACCUCUUGACCUCCCUAGGAAGGGAUGGUGACAGAUACUCCAGAAGUCAAUCAGCAGGAAAGAAGAUGUGAAAAAAAAUUAAAUAAAUAAAUAAAUAAUCAGUUCUCUUAAGUUGGAAACAGAGGCAGACUCAGAGCACCCACACAGGCCCUGGCCGGGCCCCAAGCAGCCUGCUUCCCAUCCUGAGAUCUGCAGGAGAGGGGGCGCUCCACCUGCUGGGGAUGGCACUGCCCUGGAACUGUAAGGGACAGUGCCACCGUCAAGGUCAGGCUGGAGGAGAAUGCCAGCUGACACCACAUCAGUCUAGUGAUCGAAGUAACGUCACCCAUGGGGAGGCUUGUCAACAUCACGUCCCCUGACACAGCCCACAGACAAGGCCACAUCACUCCAGUGGGACUCUUACACAAUGCACAGCCUCUGUCUCAUCAGGAGAAAACAUCAAACCAACUCAAAAUGAGCUGUAUCCAAGGCAAGGCAAGACUGAGAAACUGUGAGAGAUCAGAGGACUCCGAGGAGACCUGGCAACGGAUGGGAAGCAGCAUUCUUCUGGGACCUGGGAACACAGAGCUUUCUUCUGGAAACUUAGAAAGGUCCUCCACAGACAGGGCUAAGAAACUUGACCCAGCAGGAAGGAGAGGCAUUUCCGGGGGAUGUUGCAAGGAUUCGAGAAUGAACAUUUGGAAAGAACUCUUUGAACUCCUUCAUAAAUAAGUCUCCCAGCUGGAAACGCUGAUGCCUUGUCGAGCCACCUCCCUAUCCUCCGCCCGCAGCCCCAGCUUCGUGGUACUCUGCUGCAGUCUGGGAAGAUGGCUCAUCACUCUUGCUUCUUGUGAAAGCAAAUGCAUUUGAAAAGAGGAUUCUGAACAGAGCUGAGACCCGAAGAAGAGUCCUGAACCUGGGGCUUCAGACACUGUUCCUGUUAGACACUGGCACCCAGAGGAACCUUCCUCUGCCCCCGAGAUCACUCUGUGGGAAAACCCACCUCCUCUGUCCUUGCCUAAAACCCAUCUCCUCAAAGGCCUGGGCAUUCAGUUGUGCCUGAGAACCAGGCGGUGUGGACAGGACUGCACGCCCUAGUGGGAGCUGCAGAACAUCACCCUUCAUUGAUCUGUUCUCUCUCCACCUGCUUAAUAGGCAUUAAAAGCCACGCUCUGAAGGGCUGCCUCCAGCAGUUUUCAGACGCAUUGACAUAAUGGACUUGUCUCCACAGGACCAACCCCUGGGGACUCAGGGCAGGMGAACCAUUUAUAACACUGUCACGUUGCCCGAGAGGCCGGUGGUGCUCUGGAAAGGGCUGUUGUUGGCGCUGAUGAGCGCUUGGAGUUCAAAUCCAGACUCCACUCUCUACCUGGCUGGAUGACCCUGGGCAGAUUACUGACCCUGCCUGUGCUUCCAGCCCUCUGUCUGCAGAUCGAGGUGGACAAUCCUUGUGCACUGAUUGUGAUUCUUGAUAAUACACUAUUUUAUCGUGAGUCUUGGUAACAUGAGAUAAUAUAGGCAUAUUCACAAAAGAAAAAGGUCAAGGACAAUAUUAACRUUGCUUACUGUGCAGCAGGCACUGUGGUCAGUGCUCAACAUACGUAAGUUAUUAUCAUCAUUCUUCUUAUUAUUAU
ensembl:lncRNA